rnacentral:lncRNA from 1 species
ACACCGUGGGUGGCGGUUGAUAGAAGAUGGCCAAGGCUGGUGGCAGCAGGCAGUGUACAAUGGAUGAGUCCACGGUGGGGACUGAGCCUCCCAGGCCUGACUUCAGAACAGCCCUGGCCAGGAACCAGGUACUCUUUCCAGCCCUGCGUCUGUCUUUUGUUUGUUUGUUUGGUUGGUUGGUUGGUUGGUUUAGGUUUGGGGUUUUUUGAGACAGGGUCUUUCUAUGUAACCUCAGCUGUCCUAGAACUUGCUCUGUAGACCAAGCUGGCCUUAAACUCCUGCCCCUGCCUCCCAAGUGCUAGGAUUAAAGGCAUGUGCCACCACUGGCCAGCUUUGCCCUGAGAUUGUCAUCACUCUGUGCCAUUGUAGCUAUUCUGACAGGCAGGUAAUUACAUCCCACUGUGCUUUAACAUUCCUGAUGAUAUCAUUAUCAUCUCCUGAGAAGAUAAUAAUAGCCAUCUUUUCACAUGCUCACCUCCUAUCUCUGGGUCGUCUCUCCUGCGCCUUUUAGCCACUUUACAACUGGAUUGCUUGCUGUUUAUCUGUUGGACAUCAGACACAUUUCUAGACUCUAUUCCUUGCUAAUACCUGUGGCCUAUAAAGACUUUCUCCCUGUGUGUGGUUGGUCUUCGCUCAGCAAACCCCAGCUCCACUUUAGAAUAUACAUUCUUUCUCUGUAGCCCAGGCUGUCCUGAUACUCACUAUGUAACCAGGCUGACUGCUAACAGUGGCAGUCCUCCAACUUCCUGCAUUCUGGGAUGACAGAGCCACCACACCAGGUUACCAUAGAUCUUUUACAGUACGAGAGUGUUGAACUUUGAUAAGUUUCAUGUAAUCAGUGCUUGCUGUCAAAGCUGAAAACUGUCCAUCCCAAGGUGGGUAGAGCCCGUCUGUGCACCAUACACACCCAGGAACCUCUAGCAUGAGCCCAAACUGUGUCCUGUCUCUUGCUUACUGCCAGACCAGAGUCUUCAACUUCUUCUCUAAGUCCAAUUCCCAACAAAUGCCAAGAACCCACACAGAGUGACCCUUAAGCCCAACAGGAGUUGCCAUGCCAGGGCCCACGUGCUUAGCUGUGAGUGUUCUGCAGGCAGACAAACACUUGCUCAGUUUGGAGUAUGGAGACUAGCCAAGGUUUACAGGGCUGGAUCUGGUCCCGUGAUCUAGCUAUCUCAGACCUGCCUGCAUGCUCUAGACAGCUACCCACAGAUUUGUGUGUUGUCUUCUCUGCUGGGAUUUGAGACCUGGGGGUUUCUGCUCUACUGUAGAGAGAGCAUGUUGAAAGCUCUUAUUCAGCCACCCACAUGCACCCCAGAGCCUCAGCCUUGAUGGCAAGGACAGCUUGUUCAGUUGCUUCGAACAGAACACAGGCAGCUUGGCUCCCACUUUACCCAAGCAGAGUGUAAUUAGUUUCC